CUGUAGGCGCUUCUCCCUCAUAUUCGCUAUAAAAUACACAACUUUAUAUCAAGAUAGCAUUCUCAGCAAAUAUCACGCGAGCAUUGAGAAAAUGAAGUUGAACUGUAUUAUCUUGCUAUCUCUGGUCUGUAUGGCCAGYAUUUGCGAAGGACGCACUAUUGGUAAAAGAGAGUUCGCCGAGAGAGCAAGUUUGCCAGAACCAAUMAUGAACAAGAGAGAACCUAAGAGAGAGAUCUCCCWYGACUUGAYAAAGGAAGAUCCYGGACGAGACCCAUGUCACCCAAUGGUCCCAUGURGACCUGUUGGUUAACUGCAAUAAUUAGCAAGCUCAAUCUUUAGAGACUGAGACAUAUUGCUGUAACUUGACAUUUCUAUAAGCUGAUUUAUGCUGCUGCAAUAAAAGCAUUAGUAAUCACUUA